CUCUGCGUCGCCUUGCGUGACCCUGCGUGACCCCUAGGCACCCGACGGGUUUAAGCGCGCAGCCUGGAGGAAGAGGGGCGGUCGCUUGGUUUCUUGGCCUUCUAGGCCGGGUACUGGCUGGGGUCGGACGCCUGUUGUUCAAGACCUGUGUGCAGACAUAGAGAGGCAGAGACACAGGAAGAGGGAGAAGCAGUCUCCAUCCCGGAGCCCGAUGCGGGACGUGGGACUCAAUCCGGGGACUCCAGGACUGCGCCCUGGGCCGAAGCCAAGCACCAAACCGCUGAGCCACCCAGGGAUCCCCAAUAAAAUCUUUAAAAAAAAUAAAGUUAUUACUACUUAUA